GUGCCAGCAGCCGCGGUAAUACGUAGGGACCAAGCGUUGUUCGGAUUUACUGGGCGUAAAGGGCGCGUAGGCGGCAAUUCAAGUCAUCUGUGAAAUCUCCGGGCUUAACUCGGAACGGUCAGAUGAUACUGCUUUGCUAGAGUGCGGAAGGGGCAAUCGGAAUUCUUGGUGUAGCGGUGAAAUGCGUAGAUAUCAAGAGGAACACCUGAGGUGAAGACGGGUUGCUGGGCCGACACUGACGCUGAAGCGCGAAAGCCAGGGGAGCAAACGGGAUUAGAUACCCCGGUAGUCC
rnacentral:rRNA from 1 species